CUUCGGUGUGAGUAGAGCGGCGGACGGGUGAGUAAUGCUUGGGAAUCUGCCCAAUAGUGGGGGAUAACGUGUGGAAACGCACGCUAAUACCGCGUACGUCCUACGGGAGAAAGCAGGGGAUCUUCGGACCUUGCGCUAUUGGAUGAGCCCAAGUCAGAUUAGCUAGUUGGUGGGGUAAUGGCUCACCAAGGCGACGAUCUGUAGCUGGUCUGAGAGGAUGAUCAGCCACACUGGGACUGAGACACGGCCCAGACUCCUACGGGAGGCAGCAGUGGGGAAUAUUGCACAAUGGGCGAAAGCCUGAUGCAGCCAUGCCGCGUGUGUGAAGAAGGCUCUAGGGUUGUAAAGCACUUUCAGUGGGGAGGAAAAGCUCAAAAUUAAUACUUUUGAGCCUUGACGUUACCUGCAGAAGAAGCACCGGCAAACUCCGUGCCAGCAGCCGCGGUAAUACGGAGGGUGCGAGCGUUAAUCGGAAUUACUGGGCGUAAAGCGCGCGUAGGUGGUUUGAUAAGCUAGCUGUGAAAGCCCU
rnacentral:rRNA from 1 species